rnacentral:rRNA from 1 species
GAUGAACGCUGGCGGCGUGCCUAAUACAUGCAAGUCGAGCGAACAGACGAGGAGCUUGCUCCUCUGACGUUAGCGGCGGACGGGUGAGUAACACGUGGAUAACCUACCUAUAAGACUGGGAUAACUUCGGGAAACCGGAGCUAAUACCGGAUAAUAUAUUGAACCGCAUGGUUCAAUAGUGAAAGACGGUUUUGCUGUCACUUAUAGAUGGAUCCGCGCCGCAUUAGCUAGUUGGUAAGGUAACGGCUUACCAAGGCGACGAUGCGUAGCCGACCUGAGAGAGUGGUCGGCCACACUAGAACUGAGACACGGUCCAGACUCCUACGGGAGGCAGCAGUAGGGAAUCUUCCGCAAUGGGCGAGAGCCUAGCGGAGCAACGCCGCGUGAGUGAUGAAGGUCUUCGGAUCGUAAAGCUCUGUUAUUAGGGAAGAACAAAUGUGUAAGUAACUAUGCACGUCUUGACGGUACCUAAUCAGAAAGCCACGGCUAACUACGUG